rnacentral:tRNA from 1 species
GGGCCCGUAGUCUAGCCAGGAUAGGACGGCUGGCUUCGGACCAGCGGACCCGGGUUCAAAUCCCGGCGGGCCCU